rnacentral:rRNA from 1 species
GACAGAGGUGGCAAGCGUUGUUCGGAAUUACUGGGCUUAAAGGGUGUGUAGGCGGUUAAGUAAGCAACUCGUGAAAGCUCCAGGCUCAACCUGGGAAUUGCAAGUUGUACUGCUUAACUUGAGGCGCGUAGGGGUCAACGGAACUCUGGGUGGAGCGGUGAAAUGCGUAGAUAUCCAGGGGAACGCCAGUGGCGAAGGCGGUUGACUGGGCGCGUCCUGACGCUGAGGCACGAAAGCGUGGGUAGCAAACGGGAUUAGAUACCCCGGUAGUCCACGCCCUAAACGAUGUAUACUGGCUUCAGGGACUUCUGACAGUUUCUGGAGCGUAGGGAAACCGUUAAGUAUACCGCCUGGGAAGUACGGUCGCAAGAUUAAA